rnacentral:lncRNA from 1 species
UAGGAAGGGCAGCCUAAAUGCUCACCGAGUAUUUUCAGAAGUGUUUCUCUGGUAAAGUUAUUGGUGUUUCAAUUAUCAAGCCCCUGCCUGUGAGCUUCCUGGGAGCCCAGACUCCACUCUCGGUAACCGGAAGUCAUGGUGUGAUCCCUUGCCCAGCAUUGGGACCUCGCUGUACCAAGCAUGGACCACUCACACCUGCCAUGUUGCUGAACACCCUGAAGCACACCUGUUACUGUCACUACUGUGGCUGCUGGGGUUUGGCGGGAAGCCUAGGUCUGGUGCUUAUGGGCGUAGAAUUUAUUUUAAAUGUGGAUCUAUGAUUUUGUGCAAGUUAUUUAAAAACUACCAACUUCAGUUACUUUGCAUAAGAAAAGGAUGUAACUUGUAUCUCCUGGGUCUUC